rnacentral:tRNA from 1 species
GACCGCGUAGCUCAGUUGGAAGAACAUUGGGCUAGUAUUCCAAAGGUCGUAGGUUCGAAUCCCGCCGUGGCCA